rnacentral:lncRNA from 1 species
UUGGAACUUCAUCUUCUCAUAUCUCCUUCAAUUCUUCAUCAAAGGAGUUAGUUUUUAUGUCUAUUCGAUUUAGUUUCUCAAGAUAUGUAAAACCCCUCUAUUAAUUUAUGUGAUAGAGGGUAUAAAAAAUUCGAAUAAAAUUUCUUGUAUUUUAGUGUUCUUAAAUAUAGAAUUUUGGGGCUUUUGUUCUUAAAUUAAUGUUUUGUUGAAAUUGAAACUUGUUUACUAUUCAUAAUCAUAUUAAAUUAGAUCUUGUAAUUUUUAAAAAAUUUUUGUCAUCUUUGAAAUUAUUUCAUAAUUUAAUCAUGUUAUAGUAUAUAAAAAAAUAUAGAAAUCAUGAAAAUAAAAGUCUCUAAAUAUUAAUCUAAUUUUUUUUAUAAAAUAUAAAGUUGUGGAUCUAUUUUUAUAAUAAAAUUUCAAAUCUCUUUAAUAAUUAUUUUUAUAAAAGAAUCAAUUUAAUUAUUCGUAAAAGUAUAUAGACGAGAAAGCUCCUAACCUUUCAAGAGAUAAAGAUCAUUGAUCUCAUCCGGAUGUUUCAAGAUCUAGGAAACUAUGGUUAAACAAGGCACGUACUUUGCGAAUAAAACUAAUCGGUUCAAUUAAAUAACUAUUCGCGAUGAAAUUAAUAAAUAUAUUUUAGGUUUCAUAGAAGUUCCUAAAUUGUAGGUUGCAGUUUUGUUGUGUGUUAUUUGUGGUUUUAGGACUUUUGUAUUUUAUAUUUUUAGGGUAGCAUUUGGAGUUUUUUCAUUUUUCGUACGCUAUUGCAAGGAACCAAAAUACGCAACCUGUGAGUAGAUCUUUCUAAUUCCCCUUUUUACAAUUUAAAUGUUUUGGGGUGUGUCAUGUGUCACAUAUCUCAUUGUAUCACUUAUUUCAAGUUAUUUCAUUUUUCAAAUACAUGCAAAAACUCAGUGUGUAAUUAUGUGGUAGUUAUGCUUCUUUGACUAACCGUUUAAUGUUUUGUGUCGCUAAUCAUUCACGCACAUGGAUUCAUAGGCUGAUCGGUUCUCCAUUACCAUGGGUCCACAACAUAAGAUUCGCUCGUCGGUGAACAAGUUUGAUGUGAUGAGGACGAGAACACAUAGGACGUGCCUUAGUGAUUAAACGAGAUUUAUUUAUAUUUUGUGACUUUGGAUUUUGUGUUGAAGUUGUAUGUAUUAUUUGGAUUAUGUGAUAUCUUUUAAUUUUGAUGUAAUAAUAUUUAAAUU